rnacentral:lncRNA from 1 species
CUACUUUUAAGUUAGUUUUUGACUUAUGAAAGUAUUUGACAAAUAUAAAAAUUGUUGGGCUAUUGCCCAUGUUUAGAGUUCCUCCACUUGAAGUCCAUUUGGCCCCUUGGCUGGAGGGGGAGUUUGUUGGGCUAUUGCCCAUGUUCCAGCCAAAGGCCCAUGGCCUAAUCCUACUUGAAAAAGGAUUGGAAUUAUUCUCUUUAUUUGGUUUCUAAUAAGGAUUGGAAUAAUAAUCUUAUUUGGAGUUGGUUUUGGCUUUGUAAGGAAAAGCACAACUCUAUAAAUAGAGGAUGGUCUUAAUAGAAUAAUUCAGAUUGCUCAUUAGUAUUGUCUUUGAAAG